UGGGUAACCUGCCCAUAAGACUGGGAUAACUCCGGGAAACCGGGGCUAAUACCGGAUAACAUUUUGAACCGCAUGGUUCGAAAUUGAAAGGCGGCUUCGGCUGUCACUUAUGGAUGGACCCGCGUCGCAUUAGCUAGUUGGUGAGGUAACGGCUCACCAAGGCAACGAUGCGUAGCCGACCUGAGAGGGUGAUCGGCCACACUGGGACUGAGACACGGCCCAGACUCCUACGGGAGGCAGCAGUAGGGAAUCUUCCGCAAUGGACGAAAGUCUGACGGAGCAACGCCGCGUGAGUGAUGAAGGCUUUCGGGUCGUAAAACUCUGUUGUUAGGGAAGAACAAGUGCUAGUUGAAUAAGCUGGCACCUUGACGGUACCUAAC
rnacentral:rRNA from 1 species